UGAAUACGAGACGCUAAGGCGUCGAAGUAGUGUAUGUCAUACUUCCAAGAAAAGCUUGCACUGUCAUAGAUAAAAAACGCCUGUACCAUAACCGACACAGGUGGGUAGGUAGAGUAUACCAAGGGGCGCGAGAUAACUCUCUCUAAGGAACUCGGCAAAAUGACUCCGUAACUUCGGGAGAAGGAGUGCCUUAUUCUUAAGGUUGCAAUAACAAGAUCCAAGCAACUGUUUAUCAAAAACACAGGUCUCCGCUAAGUCGUAAGACGAUGUAUGGGGGCUGACGCCUGCCCAGUGCCAGAAGGUUAAAGAAGUUGGUUAGCAUUUGCGAAGCUGAUAACUGAAGCCCUGGUGAACGGCGGCCGUAACAAUAACGGUCCUAAGGUAGCAAAAUUCCUUGUCGGGUAAGUUCCGACCCGCACGAAAGGCGUAAUGAUUUGGAUACUGUCUCGGAGAGGGGCUCGGUGAAAUAGACUUGUCUGUGAAGAUGCGGACUACCUGCACCAGGACAGAAAGACCCUAUGAAGCUUUACUGUAACUUGAAAUUGAAAUUGGACUUUAUUCGCGCAGUAUAGGUGGGAGGCGUUGAUUAUAAUCUUGCGGGAUUAUUGGAGCCAUCAGUGAGAUACCACCCUUGUAAUGUUAGAUUUCUAACUUUGAAUCAUUAUCUGGUCAAAGAACAGUUUCAGGCGGGCAGUUUGACUGGGGCGGUCGCCUCCUAAACGGUAACGGAGGCGUACAAAGGUUUCCUCUGAACGGUUAGAAAUCGUAUCUAGAGUGUAAAGGCAUAAGGAAGCUUGACUGUGAGACCUACAAGUCGAGCAGGGACGAAAGUCGGUCUUAGUGAUCUGACGGUACUGAGUGGAAAGGCCGUCACUCAACGGAUAAAAGUUACUCUAAGGAUAACAGGCUGAUCUCCCCCAAGAGUUCACAUCGACGGGGAGGUUUGGCACCUCGAUGUCGGCUCAUCGCAUCCUGGGGCGGUAGUACGUCCCAAGGGUUGGGCUGUUCGCCCAUGAAAGCGGUACGCGAGCUGGGUUCAGAACGUCGUGAGACAGUUCGGUCCAUAUCCGGUGUAGGCGUUAGAAUAUUGAGAGGAGCCUUCUUUAGUACGAGAGGACCGAGAAGGACAUACCUCUGGUGUACCAGUUAUCGUGCCAACGGUAAACGCUGGGUAGCUAUGUAUGGAGUGGAUAACCGCUGAAAGCAUCUAAGUGGGAAGCCCACCUCAAGAUAAGUAUUCCC
rnacentral:rRNA from 1 species